rnacentral:misc_RNA from 1 species
UUUCCGUAGGUGAACCUGCGGAAGGAUCAUUACCGAGUGAGGGCCCUCUGGGUCCAACCUCCCACCCGUGUUUAUCGUACCUUGUUGCUUCGGCGGGCCCGCCCCACGGCCGCCGGGGGGCACCCGCCCCCCGGGCCCGCGCCCGCCGAAGACACCAUUGAACGCUGUCUGAAGAUUGCAGUCUGAGCAUCUUAGCUAAAUCAGUUAAAACUUUCAACAACGGAUCUCUUGGUUCCG